AACCUUGUUCAGCUUAUUAACUUGAUUAUUGCGAAGAAUUGCAUUGAGUAUCUGAAAAUUUAUUGUGUUUUCAAACAGCGAUUGUCAUUUAAAGCAUCCGUACAUAAAAGCCACGUGGACAACAUUUACUAUUACGCAUUUGAUAUGGAUUAUUAUGGUGCCUAAUACAUUGUACAUCAAGUGAUUCCAGAGCAUUUCCCAGAAUUGUCUAUCCGGGUGUCAAAAGUACUUAAUAACAGUGGAGCUGGUAAAGAAACUGUUAUGGAGCGGAGAGAAACGUAUUUGUGGAGGGAAAACAUGAUGAGGGUAUCAUAUCAAUAUAUCGGAAGCGAUCUAGAAAGUUUCCAUUUUGGGAGCCAAUCGGAAGGGACCACCAUUCCCGGUCUACAGUCUGAUAUUGAUUGGCUAUCAAGCUACAAUGAGGUGAAUAUCAUAAGAGUCUGGGUAGACUGACAGGCAGGAAUGUUGAACUUUCUGUUGUUGUACGACGACAUCACUCCACCACAACAGUACUUGCUACUAGUCAUCAGAAAUGACAAACCGGAACCAGAGACCAGGUUAUGGCAAGACACAUUCGUAAGGAAAGAUUCUGGGCAGGUACUGUUUAGCGCUGAAAGGCAUAAACAGAACCUUGAGAAUAAGGCUAGGGAACGAGGAGUGACGAUAAAAAAUGGACCUUCUGUGAGUUAUAUAUCUAACUGGGAUAUAGUACAUGCAUGUCACGUACGCAAACCUCUUCCUGAAAUACAACACUGCUUAGAAAGAUGUAGAGGUAAACACUGGCCACCUGUCCAGCUACUUGAGGCUGCACAGGUAGCUCCGUGUUUCCUGGUUCCUGCAGGACAUCCGGACAGUGAUUUCAAGCGCGAAGAAUGGCGACUGUCUCCAAACCUGAUAGAACGAAUGUUGAUGUUAAGCUUUAAUAUGACACAAAUUAAGCUUUACAUUGUUUUGAAAUUAAUUAACAUAUCUUUAUUUGCUAAAUUUGUGGGAGCUUCCAUUACAAGCUUUCAUAGUAAAACUACAAUGUAUUACAUCAUAGAAAAUACACAUCCUUCUCUGUGGUCCGAACCUUAUGUUUCUACUUCGGCUUUGUUUACAUCUGUUACAGAAAUGGCUGCGAUUGGGAAGGUUCCCGCAUUAUAUCAUAAAAGGAGUUAAUUUGUUUGAUGGAAAAUUCUAUAAGGUGCAGCAGAGACGCCUUCUGGUGUAUAUAGACUCCAUGAUAAGGACAAACUUACACGAUUUAUUUAAUAUAGGUAUAGAUACCAUAGGAUGUCGGCUACAAGCGUGUAAUGCACGGCAAAUUGGACAAGAUAGAGAACUUGGGCGCGUAUGCUUACGUAACAACAUCAGCUUGCUGCUGAAGUUUGAGUGCUUGUAAAGAUUUUACGCGCAGUUUAGAACAUUAUUAUACAAAAUGCAUGGAUCUUAUACAAACAUAGAGCGAUACACAAGCAGUGUUUUACGCAAUUCUUUUGAAUACUUCACGAAUGUCAGAUUGAAAACUAUUGCUUUAAAAUUUAGUAAACACUUGUACGGGUUGCACAAUUCAAUUCAAUCAUCUAACUGUUUGCGAUUACGAAACGUUCUUGACAGCGAAAUUUUAAGGCGUUUCCAGUAUACCUUAAACACGGAUGUAGCUUCUAGUCGCUUAAAGUUGGCUUUUACACUGUACUGUAGUGGACAUCUUCAAGCGGCAGUGAGGGUUUUGGAGGACGUGGAGAUGAGUUUUCGAGGCAAGGUCAAGGCUUAGUGCGGAUGUAGAAGUUACCAAGAAGACAGUGAACUCUAUAUGUUUGCAUAUAUACUAUCAGGUAACAAUGACAGGGGAUUCAGUGAUUUGACAUUCGCACUAUGUGUCAUGUUUUUAGGCGAGAAUCAUACUGCACUCCUUUCACAUUGUUGUUUGACAUGGUUCUUUAUAUCACGGAAGAGGAAAUGGCACAGAGGGAUAACCCUCAGAAACAAUGGAUGGAAAAUGUUGUGGUGCAUGCUCGUCCUUUCCUAUUAUAUCUGUAGACAGUACCUCAUGUAUGGAGGACUUGGUGAACGCGUAGAUCAGCUAUAUGCAUUAAGAGACCUGGCGUCGUAUGUAUGUGAUGGACGUAAUAUAAUAACCAUAUAUCACUACGAGACUGCAAAGAUCUUGCUGGGACACUGUUUUGAAAUGUAGGGAGAUUAUGAAAUUGCAUUACAUCACUACGAAGGUUCGUUACGUUGUUUCGGGACAAACAAUGGCGCCAACUGGCACGUCCGGCGUGUUCUGCGUCUUUCAAGUGGUUAAAAUACGUGGUUAAAAACGAUUCUUGUUAACAAUAGUUAACAAAUGAUACAAGCAUUUUAGUUAGUUUGAUAUGAUUGAUUAUCCAGUGUUAUAAAGUAUACGGAAGCGCAAUUCAUAUGUAUAAUUAACAAAAAAACAUAGUUAUUAUGCGCUACAUGCACUUCAAUAAUUGUCCCAUAACAUUGGUUCUACGAAAUUCACUAAUAAGGUGGUCACAAAUGGUAAAAAAUCAAAACAAUAUUGUAUUCAUGUGUUUGUCAUUGUUGAAUAGCAUGAAGUAUUGGUUUCAAUAUUCAAACACCAGGGGCCCAAACCUACCUCGAUUUUUCCAAAGCAGGAACAAUGUUGUACAUUUUGUAAUGUCGUUUGGUAUACUGAUUUAUGUCUGUCACAUGUAUGCAUCUGCUUAUUAAUGUGUGCUGCGAUUGUGUGUCUUUAACGCUAUGAAGUUUGAACGAACGAAUAUUUUGAAUCUAAUAAAAUAUCAGACGGUGAA